rnacentral:rRNA from 1 species
UACGGAGGGGGCUAGCGUUGUUCGGAAUUACUGGGCGUAAAGGGCUCGUAGGCGGCCAACUAAGUCGGAUGUGAAAUCCCCAGGCUUAACCGGGGAACUGCAUCCGAUACUGGAUGGCUUGAAUCCGGGAGAGGGAUGCAGAAUUCCAGGUGUAGCGGUGAAAUGCGUAGAUAUCUGGAGGAAUACCGGUGGCGAAGGCGGCAUCCUGGACCGGCAUUGACGCUGAUGAGCGAAAGCGAGGGGAGCAAACGGG